GUCUCGGUUGUUUUAUUGCCUAAGACUCAGGUGACAUUAAUGUCUCAAUAUCCUGCCGAGGAAACACGUUAAGUAAUUUCUCUAUGUCUUAUGGCAUGGAGUUUUUUUAUACUCCGA
rfam:Lactobacillus composti DSM 18527 = JCM 14202 strain DSM 18527 NODE_129, whole genome shotgun sequence.